GAUGAACGCUAGCUACAGGCUUAACACAUGCAAGUCGAGGGGCAUCAGGAUGUAGCAAUACAUUGCUGGCGACCGGCGCACGGGUGAGUAACACGUAUCCAACCUGCCUUUUACUCGGGGAUAGGCUUUCGAAAGAAAGAUUAAUACCCGAUGGCAUAAUAUUUCCGCAUGGGAUUAUUAUUAAAGAAUUUCGGUUAUCGAUGGGGAUGCGUUCCAUUAGGCAGUUGGUGAGGUAACGGCUCACCAAACCUUCGAUGGAUAGGGGUUCUGAGAGGAAGGUCCCCCACAUUGGAACUGAGACACGGUCCAA
rnacentral:rRNA from 1 species